AACUUUCAACAACGGAUCUCUUGGCUCUCGCAUCGAUGAAGAACGCAGCGAAAUGCGAUACGUAAUGUGAAUUGCAGAAUUCAGUGAAUCAUCGAAUCUUUGAACGCACCUUGCGCUCCUUGGUAUUCCGAGGAGCAUGCCUGUUUGAGUGUCAUGAA
rnacentral:rRNA from 1 species